rnacentral:rRNA from 1 species
UACGUAGGUGGCAAGCGUUGUCCGGAAUCACUGGGCGUAAAGCGCGCGCAGGCGGCGAUCUACGUCUGGGGUGAAAGCCCGGAGCUCAACUCCGGGACUGGCCUUGGAUACGGGAUCGCUUGAGGAUUGGAGAGGCAAGGGGAAUUCCAGGUGUAGCGGUGAAAUGCGUAGAUAUCUGGAGGAAUACCGGUGGCGAAGGCGGCAUCCUGGGCCGGCAUUGACGCUGAGGAGCGAA